UACCUAGGUAGUUUAAUUAAAAUGAUGAUUUGUGGGGUCAUAGAUAUAUAAAUAGUAUUUUAGGUAA
rnacentral:tRNA from 1 species